CUCUCCCGAAGCGUCUCGUUUUCCUGAUACGUCCGGAUAGGCGGACUUCGAGGCGAUUUUCUUCCCCACCGCCGGAUUCUCUGGCUUUCCUCGCCCCCGGUGGCUGGGCGCCGGUGAGCUUGGAGAGUUGGGAAUCCAGUGGGUGGUGUACGUAUCCCGGUGGCUGGGUAGAUUAGAGUUGGAUUACUUCCCGGUGAGGAUCUCGCCGGAAAUCUUUUGUUUCUUCCCGAGCUUCUCCGAUGUCAACUAUGUUGACGGUUGGCGGGUUCCGGUGGUGGUCUGUGGGCGAGAGGAGCUCAGCAACAGUAUCAUCUGCAGGAGGGCGUUCAACGGAUGAAAAUUUGAAGACUCUUCGUCGAAUCGGGAAUCGGCCGGAGGACCAGGUUGAAGCAGCGAUGGUCGGCGACGGUAACGGGCACUGGAUGCUCCUGUAAUGGACUUAUGUGUAAUUUUUUCUUUUUUUCAGGGGUACCCGGUCAGGAACUUGGUUGUAAGAGUACUGUAUCAAUAAAAAUCCAACUCUUUUUUUAAAAAAAAGAUAAACUCAAA